rnacentral:tRNA from 1 species
UAGCUCAGUUGGUAGUAGCGCAUGACUGUUAAUCAUGAUGUCGUAGGUUCGAGUCCUAC